rnacentral:rRNA from 1 species
GACGAACGCAGGCGGCGUGCCUAAUACAUGCAAGUUGAGCGCUGAGGUUGGUACUUGUACCAACCGGAUGAGCAGCGAACGGGUGAGUAACGCGUGGGGAAUCUGCCUUUGAGCGGGGGACAACAUUUGGAAACGAAUGCUAAUCCGCAUAAAAACUUUAAACACAAGUUUUAAGUUUGAAAGAUGCAAUUGCAUCACUCAAAGAUGAUCCCGCGUUGUAUUAGCUAGUUGGUGAGGUAAAGGCUCACCAAGGCGAUGAUACAUAGCCGACCUGAGAGGGUGAUCGGCCACAUUGGGACUGAGACACGGCCCAAACUCCUACGGGAGGCAGCAGUAGGGAAUCUUCGGCAAUGGUCGAAAGUCUGACCGAGCAACGCCGCGUGAGUGAAGAAGGUUUUCGGAUCGUAAAACUCUGUUGGUAGAGAAGA